GGUGAGGCCUUCCCAUCCGUGUUUCCUUGGUUCUGAGGUGAGGCCUUCCCGUCCGUGUUUCCUUGGUUCUGAAGUGGGGCCUUCCUGUCCAUGUUUCCUUGGUUCUGAGGUGGGGCCUUCCCGCCCGUGUUUCCUUGGUUCUGAAAACCAAAGACUCUCACUCAGCAAAUCCUGAGAUCCUGACACCCUGACACCUGUUGGAAAGGUCUGGAAGCCGCCAUGGAAGCUGUCACACGGCCCCUUUGGGACACUGGGCUGUAGAAGGCCAGUGUGGUCAGAGAACCUUUCUCCAGAGAGGCCCCUGCCUCACACAGAGUGCUGUCCUGACACUGUCACCCGUAGAACCCUCUGGGCGACUCGCCGUAGCCAGGCCACGUGCAGCUCUUUUUUGUUGGGCUGUGAUGGUGGCUGGAGGCAGGUCCCAUCCAGAGCACAGCCCUGGCCUUCUGCAGCCCUCUCGGCAGCCAGCCGUGCUUCUUGGAAGUGGUUCUCGGCCAAAGGCCUGCUCCUGUGUGAGCAAGAUGCUUUGGGGGCAGGAGGGAGCCGGGGUGCAUUUACGUGUGUUUAAUCUCAGUCCCACCACGGCACACGGUGCCCAGGGUCCUCAGCUGACCCUACCCCUCCUCAGCCCCCAAAGCUCAUCCUUCCCCAAACCCUCGGGGAGGGGACAAGGGUCACAGCAUGGCUGGUGAUAGUGGGGGCAGGAACCAGUGUUUUAUGCUCAGAUCUGUGCUGAUGUCACACUUUGGACAGCCGAAGGGGCGGAAGGAUGAAGCAUAAAACCCCCUUCAAGGUGGGUGUGGCGGCAUCUGGGGCACCCCGUGACCGAGGGUGAGAAUGUGGGCUCGGAGAGGACCAGGCCACAGCUCUGUGCAGCCACGGGCCAGCCGGGCACCACGGGAACACUCACCCCUGUGUGUGGGGUGUCCCGGGUGGCAGUCUCUCCGUGUCCCCUGCGUGUGGGGUGUCCCGGGUGGCAGUCUCUCCGUGUCCCCUGCGUGUGGGGUGUCCCGGGUGGCAGUCUCUCCCUGUCCCCUGUGUGUGGGGUGUCCCGGGUGGCAGUCUCUCCCUGUCCCCUGCGUGUGGGGUGUCCUGGGCUGGGCCUCAGGCUUCUCUUUUCCACCCUCUUCUGCCCCCAUGUGCUGUGUUCAGUCCUCAGGCCCUGACCGGCAUCUGUUCGCUGAUCAGAGCCAUUUUCUUUCCUCCGGCCCCAUCCUUUCUGCGAUAUCCCACCUGUCUUCUUGCCACUGCCACCAGGAUGUCCAAUGGUGUCUCCACCCAAAUUCCUGACCUCACUGACUUCCCCAAGCCUGUCUGUCCCCCGUGACCCCAGCCUGCCAGUAGCUCAGGCCCACAGCCGCAGAGCCGCCUUUAUUCUCCUCAGACACAGCACAGAACACCUGGUGAGGCCGCAGGUUCUGGCCUCAGGGUGCACACAGGACCUGCCGACAUCUCCGCGUGGCCAGGUGCGUCCAGCACCUCAUUCUCUGCUCUGGAUCUUGCAGAGACCCCAACUGCGCUGCCUGGCUCUUCCAUCUAUGGUGCCGGGCCUGGCCUGGGAGGGGCCACGCGGGCCGAGCCGCAGUCGAGCCGCAGGACGAUGUCCCCUGCGCCCAGCACUUCUGCCAUGCAAGCCGUGAAAGGGCCUCCACACCUGCAGCCUGCAUUCCGUGGAAGCCACGUGUUGCGUGAGGCCUUUCGUGCCUGGGAGCAGGGAGGUUUGAAGAGCGGAAGCACUUAGGCAGGAGAAAAGACAAAUUAAUGAACGUGUCAAAUCCUGCUGUUCAGGUUGCAGAAAAGCCAGUGAUUUCUGCAUAAAGAAGUACCCGUUCCUGGCAGUGCCAGGCGCCCACUCUUGCGUUUCUUUGCACGUCGGCUCACAGCUCUAGAAGUACUCACGGACAAAUGUGGAGGCACCCCGCAGCACCCCACAACCCCUUUCAUUUUUCUACAUCUGUCGAGACAGGACAUGCAUGACUCAUACUACCAGCUCCUGACAUCAGCAACUGCAGGGAUCUCAGAGCCAGAAUCACAAAUGUCUUAUUCUUAUAAAAAUAUGGACUACAAUUUGAUUAAAUUGUCACAAAAUACAAUUUAAAAUACAGCUUUAUUUAAAUACUUUUGAUUGAAAAUUUUGAUAUUUUGUGAAUUAUAUUUGG